rnacentral:rRNA from 1 species
GAUGAACGCUGGCGGCGUGCCUAAUACAUGCAAGUCGAGCGAACAGACGAGGAGCUUGCUCCUCUGACGUUAGCGGCGGACGGGUGAGUAACACGUGGAUAACCUACCUAUAAGACUGGGAUAACUUCGGGAAACCGGAGCUAAUACCGGAUAAUAUAUUGAACCGCAUGGUUCAAUAGUGAAAGACGGUUUUGCUGUCACUUAUAGAUGGAUCCGCGCCGCAUUAGCUAGUUGGUAAGGUAACGGCUUACCAAGGCAACGAUGCGUAGCCGACCUGAGAGGGUGAUCGGCCACCCUGGAACUGAGACACGGUCCAGACUCCUACGGGAGGCAGCAGUAGGGAAUCUUCCGCAAUGGGCGAAAGCCUGACGGAGCAACGCCGCGUGAGUGAUGAAGGUCUUCGGAUCGUAAAGCUCUGUUAUUAGGGAAGAACAAAUGUGUAAGUAACUAUGCACGUCUUGACGGUACCUAAUCAGAAAGCCACGGCUAACUACGUG